rnacentral:rRNA from 1 species
UACGGAGGGUGCAAGCGUUAUCCGGAUUUAUUGGGUUUAAAGGGUCCGUAGGCGGUUCUGUAAGUCAGUGGUGAAAUCUCACAGCUUAACUGUGAAACUGCCAUUGAUACUGCAGGUCUUGAGUGUUAUUGAAGUAGCUGGAAUAAGUAGUGUAGCGGUGAAAUGCAUAGAUAUUACUUAGAACACCAAUUGCGAAGGCAGGUUCCUAAGCAACAACUGACGCUGAUGGACGAAAGCGUGGGGAGCGAACAGG